rnacentral:rRNA from 1 species
UACGGAGGAUCCAAGCGUUAUCCGGAUUCAUUGGGUUUAAAGGGUGCGUAGGCGGAAUGAUAAGUCAGUGGUGAAAUCCUUCAGCUUAACUGGAGAACUGCCAUUGAUACUGUCAAUCUUGAGUACAUUUGAUGUGGGCGGAAUGUGUCAUGUAGCGGUGAAAUGCUUAGAUAUGACACAGAACACCGAUUGCGAAGGCAGCUCACAAAACUGUAACUGACGCUGAGGCACGAAAGCGUGGAUAUCAAACAGG